GGAUCUUUAGCUCAGUUGGUUAGAGCAACCGGCUCAUAACCGGUAUGUCCUGGGUUCAAAUCCCAGAGGGCCCA
rnacentral:tRNA from 1 species